rnacentral:ncRNA from 1 species
GGUUGGGAGGGCUGCAUGCGCGGUCCGCUGGCGAUAAGCCGCCCGGCUG